rnacentral:rRNA from 1 species
UACGGAGGGUGCGAGCGUUAUUCGGAAUUAUUGGGCGUAAAGGGCGCGUGGGCGGCUUGGCAAGUGGAUGGUGAAAUCCCUCGGCUUAACCGAGGAACUGCCAUCCAGACUGCUUUGCUUGAGGCCGGGAGAGGUGAGUGGAAUUCCCAGUGUAGCGGUGAAAUGCGUAGAGAUCGGGGAGGAACACCAGUGGCGAAGGCGGCCAUCUGGAUCAACACUGACGCUGAGGCACGAAAGCGUGGGGGAGCAAACAGG